CCUACGGGCGGCUGCAGUGAGGAAUAUUGGUCAAUGGACGAGAGUCUGAACCAGCCAAGUAGCGUGAAGGAUGACUGCACUAUGGGUUGUAAACUUCUUUUAUAUGGGAAUAAAACGUUCCACGUGUGGGAUUUUGUAUGUACCAUAUGAAUAAGGAUCGGCUAACUCCGUGCCAGCAGCCGCGGUAAUACGGAGGAUCCGAGCGUUAUCCGGAUUUAUUGGGUUUAAAGGGAGCGUAGGUGGAUUGUUAAGUCAGUUGUGAAAGUUUGCGGCUCAACCGUAAAAUUGCAGUUGAAACUGGCAGUCUUGAGUACAGUAGAGGUGGGCGGAAUGCGUGGUGUAGCGGUGAAAUGCUUAGAUAUCACGAAGAACUCCGAUUGCGAAGGCAGUUCACUGGACUGCAACUGACACUGAGGCUCGAAAGUGUGGGUAUCAAACAGGAUUAGAUACCCCUGUAGUC
rnacentral:rRNA from 1 species